GGGACAACCAGUCAUGCUGAGAAGAUGGCAGGGCAGGAAGGUCACGCGCCUUGUAUUCAAAAACCACAGAGGAAGAGAUGACCUCACCACCCAUAGCUACCUGCAGCAUCACCAAACCUGUGUCAUGGGCUGGAAAUAUCAGGUGUGUUACCUGGGCAGUAGCAGCGCAGCACCCCGGGCUGUAUAAGGGCAGCAGGGACACUGAUGUGGUCAAAGAGACAGCUGUACUCACUGCCUGACUCCAACCACGGACCUGUGAUCAGCACCUUCACUCCACCCUGCCGCACACAAACAGUCUUCAGUCUAAUAUCACACAGUCUGUGUGAAAAUAGGACAAAUCAUGCAUGCAUACUUUACUAAGAUAAUAAUAAUAAUAAUAAUGUAUGCAUAGUGUAGCAUGUGUAUGCAAAUGUGUGUGUGCACAGAAUACCUUUCUGUGUUUCUACCAAAUAUCCUGAUUCCAUCUGUUGCAAAAACAUACCUCAGAGACACAGUGGCCUACAUUUUAGUUUUCUAUUAUAUUAAUUUAAACUGAUAAAAAUUAUGAAUGGCCCCCAAGUGGUUAUACUUUUGCUUAUUUAUGGGUUAUUUUUUUGACAAAUCUAAGAGUCUUAACGGCCUGCUGGCAGCUCCUUGAGGCUGUGCUGCUCCUUACAUCCAAGAUGUUUGAACCAUGUGAACAACACUGCUAAGUGUUUUUUCAAGUGUAGCUAAAAAUAAAACAUAAACAACACAUUGUGCCCC